rnacentral:rRNA from 1 species
AGAGUUUGAUCAUGGCUCAGAAUCAACGCUGGCGCGCGCCUAACACAUGCAAGUCGAACGAGAAAGGGGAGCAAUCCCUGAGUACAGUGGCGUACGGGUGAGUAACACGUGGGUAAUCUGCCUCUUAGUGGGGAAUAGCUCUGGGAAACCGGAAUUAAUACCGCAUAAGCUCGAGAGAGGAAAGCAGCAAUGCGCUGAGA